rnacentral:rRNA from 1 species
AGUGAACGCUGGCGGUAGGCCUAACACAUGCAAGUCGAACGGCAGCACAGUAAGAGCUUGCUCUUACGGGUGGCGAGUGGCGGACGGGUGAGGAAUACAUCGGAAUCUACUUUUUCGUGGGGGAUAACGUAGGGAAACUUACGCUAAUAUCGCAUACGACCUACGGGUGAAAGCAGGGGAUCUUCGGACCUUGCGCGAUUGACUGAGCCGAUGUCGGAUUAGCUAGUUGGCGGGGUAAAGGCCCACCAAGGCGACGAUCCGUAGCUGGUCUGAGAGGAUGAUCAGCCACACUGGAACUGAGACACGGUCCAGACUCCUACGGGAGGCAGCAGUGGGGAAUAUUGGACAAUGGGCGCAAGCCUGAUCCAGCCAUACCGCGUGGGUGAAGAAGGCCUUCGGGUUGUAAAGCCCUUUUGUUGGGAAAGAAAAGCAGCAGGUUAAUACCCCGCUGUUCUGACGGUACCCAAAGAAUAAGCACCGGCUAACUUCGUG